rnacentral:rRNA from 1 species
UACGGAGGGGGCCGGCGUUGCUCGGAAUCACUGGGCGUAAAGGGCUUGUAGGCGGUCUGAUAAGUCCUGUGUGAAAUCCCUUGGCUUAACCAAGGAAUUGCGCCGGAUACUGUCGGACUAGAGGCCGGGAGAGGGAAGCGGAAUUCCGAGUGUAGCGGUGAAAUUCGUAGAUAUGCGGAGGAACACCGGUGGCGAAGGCGGCCAUCUGGACGAGUACUGACGCUGAGACGCGAAAGCGUGGGGAGCAAACAGG